UGGGGAAUAUUGCACAAUGGAGUGAACUCUGAUGCAGCGACGCCGCGUGAACGAAGAAGGCUUUCGAGUCGUAAAGUUCUUUUAUAUGGGAAGAUAAUGACGGUACCAUAAGAAAAAGCCCCGGCUAACUACGUGCCAGCAGCCGCGGUAAUACGUAGGGGGCUAGCGUUGUCCGGAAUCACUGGGCGUAAAGGGUUCGCAGGCGGAAAUGCAAGUCAGGUGUAAAAGGCAGUAGCUUAACUACUGUAAGCAUUUGAAACUGCAUAUCUUGAGAAGAGUAGAGGUAAGUGGAAUUUUUAGUGUAGCGGUGAAAUGCGUAGAUAUUAAAAAGAAUACCGGUGGCGAAGGCGACUUACUGGGCUCAUUCUGACGCUGAGGAACGAAAGCGUGGGUAGCAAACAGG
rnacentral:rRNA from 2 species